UACUAGCGGUCCAAGUCGCAGCCAUUUUUAUUGGGUCUAAAACAUCCGUAGCUUGCUUAGUAAGUCCCUUGUGAAAUUCUAUAUCUUAAGUAUGGAGCGUGCAAGGGGUACUGCUGAGCUAGAGACUGGUAGACGUAACGAGUACGUUUGGAGUAGCGGUAAAAUGUGUUAAUCCCAGACGGACUAACAAUAGCGAAGGCAUGUUACGAGAACAGUUCUGACAGUAAGGGAUGAAGGCUAGGGGCGCAAAACGGAUUAGAUACCCCCGUA
rnacentral:rRNA from 1 species